CUGGAAGCGGUGGACUUGGGAGGACUGCAGGCUGGUUGGGCAGCGAGAGGCUUCGGCCGCCAUGGCUCCCAACGUUCCCAUGGCCGAACCGGCUAGAGAGUGUCCUGAAGGCAUCCGGGCCGUGCUUCUGGGGCCGCCCGGAGCCGGCAAGGGUACCCAGGCACCCAAGUUGGCUGAAAACUUCUGUGUCUGCCAUUUGGCUACUGGGGACAUGCUGAGAGCCAUGGUGGCUUCUGGCUCAGAGCUGGGAAAAAAGCUGAAGGCAACUAUGGAUGCCGGGAAACUGGUGAGUGAUGAAAUGGUCGUGGAGCUCAUUGAGAAGAAUUUGGAGACGCCUCCAUGCAAAAAUGGUUUUCUUUUAGAUGGCUUCCCUCGGACUGUGAGGCAGGCAGAAAUGCUUGAUGACCUCAUGGAGAAGAGGAAAGAGAAGCUUGAUUCUGUGAUUGAAUUCAGCAUCCCAGACUCUCUGCUGAUCCGGAGAAUCACAGGAAGACUGAUUCACCCCGAGAGUGGCCGUUCCUACCACGAGGAGUUCAACCCCCCAAAGGAGCCCAUGAAAGAUGAUAUCACCGGGGAACCCUUGGUCCGCCGAUCAGAUGAUAAUGAGAAGGCCUUGAAAAUCCGCCUGGAGGCCUAUCACACUCAGACUGCCCCGCUGGUGGAGUACUACAGUAAACGGGGGAUCCACUCUGCCAUCGAUGCAUCCCAGACCCCUGACGUUGUGUUUGCAAGCAUCCUAGCAGCCUUCUCCAAAGCCACAUGUAAAGACUUGGUUAUGUUUAUGUAAUGUUGGGUCCAAAAAGGAACUUCUUUCUUCUUCCUAUCCCUGUUGAAGGAGUGGGUGGGAAUGGCAGAGCAGGCAGAGGGAAGCUUCUUCAGGCCAGCAAGAGUAUCAUUUGAUGUACUGAUUAAAAAAGCACUUGCUUCAUGUAUCUUUGGCGUGUGUGCAACUCUCAUCUCAUCUGUGUGUGUGGGCGUGUGUGCGUGUGCAAAUGAGUGUGUUGGUAUAAGUAUGUGUACACUCUCCUACUUUCUAAGUUGUAGGCAAGAUUGCUUUACUAGCUGUUUAUUUCUUUAGCCAUACUCUAGAUUUUAUUUUUUGACCAAAAUAAACUAACUCAGGUAUCUACCAGGCAUUCCAGUUCCCUAGUAUUUUUUCCAUCUCCAACAGCUCAUUAGAAGUCCUGGGUCACAUGAAGUCAGGCAGGGCCACAGUUCCUAGUGGCAGACUGUUGGCCAGAAAUUCCAUUUGUUUUCUCACCCGUAAUGAAAAGCCAAAUGAGUCAGUGUGUGGAAAGGGAUCAUUAAUUUUUUUCCCCCUAAACAGGAAGGAAAAGGCGCUUACAUUAUAGAUUCCAGAAAUUAACUGGGAGAGGGUAUCAGCAUAGAAAGAGCCAGGCCAAGUUGGAAUAUUUCUGUGAACUGCACCAUGGUUCUGUAAAGUAGGAAUCAUCUGGGACCUGUGUUGAAUACUGAAUUGCUGCCAAAGAAUUAAACCAGGUGAAAGGUCCUUUUGAAUUUAGACAGUCUUCUGAACAUCCAGGCUGGGCAUCUGAGGGCAGCCAGUCCACUUCCCCAAAGAGAGACCAGGGUAGGUUUGUUUUUAUUUUUAAUGUUCGCCUCUGUUUCCAAGUAUGAACAAAACAGUGAUUUGAGGAUCAUUUUGGGAUCAUUUUGAUUAGAAUUUAUUCAAACCCAAUCUCUCUGCAGGAUGUGAAACCCAAAUCAGAUGUAUCCCUUUUAAACUCAAACCAUCUCCCUUCCAGAUCCAAUCCUUCACCCCUUACGUCAUGAUGGUGGUGGCCAGUCUCCCCAAGAAAGGAUCACCCCAAAAAUAAGAUCACCUAUGGCAGUAACCAGUUUUUAUUCCUAACCUCAGCUCCCAACUACUAAACAUUUCCUGAGGUCCGUGCUGUGCCUUUUGGUCUCUGGUUUGAUUUGGGGCAAACAGAUGAAUUAAUAGACUGCUGUGAGGGACCACAAAAACAGCAGCCUCUGGAAAAAAACCAUGAAAAAAAUCAGUGGCAGGUCCAAUAAAUAAUGCCACCUGCCCAUUGUAAUCUGCUGACUCAGUUUAGUGGACUAUAAAGUGCCCAGUCCCCAUCUGACGUGAGUUCUCCUGCUGUCUGUGGGCCCGCCAGAGGUUCUGUCCUCUGUCCCCCUGGAAGCUGGCUAUGGGUACAGCUUGCAGGUGGACAGAGUGGCCAUCUCGUGUCCCUCUUUGUCUGCUUCAAGUGAGUGUCUGCUGACUCUGCUCUGCCUUGUUUCCCUGGCUGUAAACUAACUCCAUCCAUUCUCAGCGGAAACCCAAUCUGGCACGGGGUGUUUCUGGGAAGCACAUGACUUCUGGGAAUGGACAAGGAAGGGCAGUGAAACCAAAACUGUCAGCUCUGUCUGUGGGGAUCUGGGCUCCUUCUGUGGGUGAGGGUGGCCUCGUGAAUCUUGGAGUCGACUCCUCUUCAAGUAGGGACAGUUGCAGGCAUUUGGCCUCAAAGGUGAGGUCCUUGAAUGUUUGCUGAUAGAGUGUGCAUGAUCCUUACUCAGAUAUUUGUCAUCUAUCUAUAUGCAUUCACGUGUGCACACACGUGCGUGUGAUUUUUGGGCUAUCAGUGAAAACUGGAAGAUCGUCGGGGUUGCAUAUGCCCUUUUGGGGCCUAGUAACAGAAGGCCAGGCGAGACUGCACCACUGCUCAUCACCCUGCGGCGUGAUCCCUGCUCUUAGGUGCUGGGCAGAGGGGAGGGGUGGUCAGGGUAAGGAUGGAGAGGGCGGAGUGGUGAGGGCUCAAGAGGAGAAUGGGAAGAGCAGCAGUGCUGUAGUGAAGCAACUUCUGUUCCAUGGAGUAGGAGCCUUAAAAAGUACAAGCAAAGGGAAAAAUUGAUUUUUUAGAACACUGAUUGGAGGGUAUAAAUAGAAAUAGGGAGAUGCAGUAUUAUUUCUAAGGAAUCACGUUGUCAUUUACUCCAGACUGGUGACGAUAUUUUUUAAAGCCAGUGCCCUAAGACCUCAGCUUUUAUCAGAACCUCAUGCCAGCCCAGGAAUGCCGGAAAUCACACCGUUGUCCUGUCUGUCCUGUAGUUUGGAACAGGGCAGGAGUUGACUACUAACCCUGGUUCCCCAUACCAUGAGAUCAAAAAGUCAUCUCCCCAUUCGAAAGAGAUACAGAGUAUGUUCGUGGGGGUAGUGGCUCAGCAAAUCAGGUUUACUGGAGUCCUGGGGCAGGUGGAGCAGGCUGGUCUCACUCCCCUCCCAACUUACCACUGAUGUGCCAGCCCGCCGGCUCUCGUGGGUAAGCUCUCGACAGCCACCCAGCAUAUGCCACAGCCCUACACUCUUGCCUUCCUCCACCCAUGUCGUGUGAAAGGACCCUUUUUAAUAAAUGAGCAAGUGUCCUAAGCGACCUUAUCCAAAGAUUGUCCUUUCCAUCCUCAAAUCCUGUGACUGGGAUCACUCAACAACACUGUGAUGUAUUAUUUUCAAUGAGGUGCCUUUCUUAACUGUCCAAAUGCUGCCUUGUUUGGCCCCUAAAUCAAUAAAGUGUGUUAAAUGUUUGUA